AAGCCUGGAAGAGGAGAUACCGUCAUCAAAGAGACGACCAUCCAAAGAAAACUUGGGGCUAACUCCCGUGUUGGCCACAUUGUUAUGGUCCGGGACAAAGCAGCAGAAGCUGUUCAAAGUGGAUGAAAGACUGAAGAUGGGAUUGAGUUUCAGCUCUGUGAAAACCUGAGUGGAGUCCAGCGACAGCUGAACUACAUGUGUCUGUGAAAAAGGCCUCUGCUCAGAUAUUAAAGGAUGGAGACCCUCUCACAGCUGCAUACUGGACUGAGUGUCAUGGUUUUGGUUUGUUGUUUUCAUUUUCGGUUUUGUUAUGUUAAGUUGUUCCUUGUUUUCUUUUGCCAUUCAGGAAAAUAAAGCUUGCUUUUGGUUACCUGACCUUUUAGUCCUUUUACUGCAUUUGGGUCCUAUUUUAGUUGUUCUGCUUUAUGAUUGUAAUGCAUGACUGUGCCAACAUGUGUCUCCUCCUCCCUGCUCUUGUUUGUAGGCUGCACCUGCUUUUCAGGAGACCAGGCCUCGCAAUUAUGUUCUUUCUGCCAGUGCAUCAGCGGUAAGACUCCAUCACAAACUGCAGGGUCUGUCACCCAGCAGGAGCUAAGCUAACAUGCUAACAGGCACAGAGCCUUAGAACACCACAUACUCCAAAAGACAGAUGAUGUAGCUCACAUCAGGGCACAGAGCUGCU